UCCAGGGUAGCCUAGUGGACAUGGCACCUGCUCGGUAAGCAGAAGGUUGUGGGUUCGAUUCCCGCCCCUGGAC